UGCGUACUCCCUCCGUCCGAAAAUACUUGUCGAAGGAAUGGAUGUAUCUAGAUGUAUUUUAGUUCUAGAUACAUCCAUUUUUAUGCAUUUCUGCGACAAAUAUUUCCGGACGGAGGGAGUACAUG
rnacentral:pre_miRNA from 1 species